rnacentral:rRNA from 1 species
UUGAGAGUUCAAGAGUACGUGAAACUGUCUGCAGUAGUAAACGGACGGGCUCUCGAAGUUGUCGGCAGUGGUUCAGGCAGAGGACUUGUCAGCUUGGGCGUUUGAGAUCCGCAAGGACUUGGCGUUUAAGUCGGGCGAGUUCGCUGCUGCACUCCACUGUCGUCUCACGCAACGAACCGUUCUUGCCGGACCGAGGGCCGGGGUGAAGUUUUCGGGUCUUCGGACUCGGGAGCCCCUGGUUCCUGGCUUCGGCGGGGACGGGUAAUUGAGCGGCCUCGUAUAUCGAGCAUCCAUGCUGGUGCGGGUUGCAUCUCUGUUGCGAGUUGUUCGGCGGCCCGUCCGACCCGUCUUGAAACACGGA